rnacentral:lncRNA from 1 species
AAAAUCAGCCUCGGAUCAAGCGGGGCUUGCCGCUCGGCGCUCGCGACAUUUCCGAUGCCGGUGAGUGCGCCACUCUCUGAAAUUCUGCGCGAAAAAUCAGCCGCGAGAGUCGGCGCCCACGCUCGCUCGCUCUUGAGCUCUUCCUUUGCGGCCCAUGGAGUCAUCGAUUCAUAGGCCCGUUUGGUUGGCUAAGAGCAAGUAUUAUAGUGGCCUGUAAGCUGGCUAAAUGCUGAGGUGGAGGAGAGAAGGGAGGAGAGAGAGGAGAAGCGGGCUGUAAGCUUACAGCCAGCCUAGGCACAGGAAUCAAGAAACUUUGUGAGAGAGACAAGUGGGUCAUGUAUUAAUAGUGAAUAGCUAACUAUUGUAUGGGUGGGCUGGGAGAAUGCUGUAAUAAACCUUAUAGCCAGCAAGUGGGCUGUAUUAUUAAACUUGCUCUAAGCGCACUCACAAUGCAGACUUUAUUAUAGAGUCUAAAAUCAUUUAUUACCUCGAACAAUG